GAUGAUGAGGACAUGAGCACCAUCAAUACAUCCACGCCUCAGAUUCAUAUGCAUGAUAACUCAACUAUCUAGUGAGUUCAUUCCUGAGUUAUUUGUUGUAUUAUUUAGACCGUGGAAACCCGUGCACCUUUGUUUUGGCCAGGAAUAAUGAGGAGGAACCGCAAGGAAGCAUAUUCGCGAUGGGCUAAAUUUGGACUGCAGAAGGGUCUCAACUUGUGGUGGCCACCAAGACUACAUACAGUGACCAAUUUUGAUGUUCAAAUACACGGUGGAAAGCUUAUGAAGUCUAUUUUCACAUGGAUCCAGUCCCAUGUCCAUAUCUAUAAUGAGGCGGCUGCAAUCGUCGAGUUACGCCAGAGACCUUUCUGUGGACAGCUUCAUUCAAUAAGAAACUCCAUGCAUGCAUGAUAUGGAUAUUAUUGUUUUCUUUUGUUUUUAGUGAGUCGAGGGAUUAGCACCGCACACUCUGGUUGCUCUCUCUUGUACAUAAAGGCUUCUACAGCCAGGGACACAAGGGCGGGUUUUGUUUUGUUGUAAGUUUAGCCAUUGCUACUUCCUUGUAGACGCAUGUGUCGACUAGACCAUCCGUUCUACUUGAUUCAAAACCCCAUAUUGUUAUCGUGAUUCAUAUCAGAUCCUUCUUGUAUUAUUUGGCAAUUGAGUGCCUGUUCUAUCUGUUCUUGCAUGUUCUUCGAUUGCGUGCAGGAAUUACCCUAGUGGUUUGGUUGGUUGUGAUCAACAAGAUCGUGAUCAACCACUGGAAUUGGUGUAUCGAUCGCUAAGGCGCAGCGUCCUUGGACGGUUGUAGUCGGAUCGUGAACGUCGCUCUAGAGAGAUCGAGGUUAUCCAUCUCCACCGAAAGAUCGGGACACCCUCGUUCUUAUUAUGUGGUAAUCAGAGCAAGGUUUGAUUGGUGAGUGAUUUUAGUUUGCAUUUUUUUCCUAUAGUCCAGAAAAGCCAAAAAAAAAUUUUAGUUUCAUUCCCAACAUCCUAUAGACCCAUUGAGCCUUUUACUAGUACUACUUAGUUUAGGCAAGUUGUGUUUGAUUUACAUGGUCGAGUCGAAUUGCUGAUCUUGGGUUUAGACUUUUAGAGUUUCGAGUUCUUGUCACGUUUUAGUCACUGCCCAUCGUAUAAUCUCUGCUGCAAUCACUAUUACCAUAUACAUUUGGACUACACUAUAUAUAUCUGAACUACCAUCACCACCCUACUUGGGCACCGUGUAAACUCCAUCCACCACUCUCUUUUCACUCAUGCGCACCCUAUAUUUUUAGGCCAUUGCAUGCACGUUUUCACUUCCACCCGUGAACAACCUAUUCUUACUCACUGCCACCUGCAUGUUCCUUUCUUCCAUUCAUACAUCCUAUUGUAAGCGCUCUUGCACAUUCUAUAAUCAGCAUCCUAUUUUUAAUCAGCAUCCUAUUGCAACCACUAGAUUCAUUCCACUCUUGGGCAUCUAAUUUUAGAACAUUGCAUCCUUGUCCACUUCAUGCGCAUCCUUUUGCCUCUCCUCCACUCUUCUUUCACAUUCUAUUUUUCUCAUCCCCGUUGCAAUCAGUGUUACUGCAGCAUCAUAUCACCAUCAUAAUCUGCUAGUUGUAUUUUUGUUACACUAAAGACAUUGUGUGUUUUCUGAAAUCUAAUCCAUCAAGAUUCAGAUUUAUUUUAGUUGAGCAAAGUAGGAAAAAAAAGAAAGAAACAAAAAAAUAUCAAAAAAAAAGAAAAGAAAAAGGAAAGAAAAGAAAAAAAAGGAAAGAAAAUAAAGGAAGAGGAAAAGAAGGGAAGUUAUCUCUUGUUGUUCUUAUUAUUCUUGCGAUAUUGUGACUUCAUCUGUGCCUAGGUUCGCGUCUCUAGCACGGUCUAGCCUAGGACCAGCACAGUGCCACCGUUGAAUGAUUUCUCAACAUGCUUUUGUGACUAAUGUGGUGCUAGUACUUCCUUGUGCAAUAUAUAGAGCCAUCCUAUAACUCCACAUAUCAGACUACAACUUGACAAGUGUUGUUGCUGCAGCGUUGAUACACCAUUUUCUAGGUUUUCUGACUUGUUGGUUCCUGCCACCUCCUGUUUCGCUUGGUAAGAACUUGUGAGAACUUGUUUGCAUAGGGUGAGAGUGAAAUAAUUACAACAACCACAUCCUUGUAGUUGAUAGGAGCAUAAAGAUUAUUGCGUAUGUCUCUUGUUUUGUUCUAAUCAUGGCAGGAAUCCACGUAGAAACAAGCGAUAAUCAGAUUGCAUGUUCACAUCACUUUGCUAAAGGUGUGGCAAGUGAUAAGUAUGGCACGCAUGAGGUAUGUGAUGUUUUGCUAGAUGAAAUAAAAUCUGCAUUACCUUAUUUUGAAGGAAAUUGUGAUCCACAUGCAUAUAUUAAAUGGGAGCUAAAUGUAGACAAUGAAUUUAAAAAGCAUAAUCUAUCGGAAAGCCAAAAGAUUAGAGUUGCUUCCAGUGUUCUUACUGAGUAUGCUUUAAGUUCAUGGAAAUACCUUUGUAGAUUUCAUAAAGCUCCUCAAACAUGGAAAGAUGUGAAAAGACAUUUUAGAGAUGUUUUUGUCCCUGAGUACUAUUCUGAAAUUUUGUUUGAAAAACUACAAUCUAUAAAGCAAGAAAACAAAACCGUAGCGGAAUAUUUGGAUAAACUAAAAUUGUGUGUGCUGCGAUGUGGAUUAGAAGAAACUGAUGAACUUUUGGAACAUAGAUUUCUGCAAGGUCUUAAUGUAGAAAUUCAGGACAUUCUUGAUGAUAAGUAUUAUAACACCUUUGAUGAAUUGUUUGAUCUUGCUUGUGAGUUAGAAAGGGAUCUCGCAAGUAUUAUAGAAGUACGUGUCUCUCCUAUUACUAACAAUUUGCAGCAAUAAGAAGACAACAUACACAUGGAAAGCGUGCAACUUGAGAUACUAGAUGAGUCAUUUAAAGAGAGCAUAAAUCUAGCUGCACCCACACCAUUUCAACACAGCAUCAAAGGUAAAUUAGAUGGUGGUAACAUAAAUCAAGGUGACCUUGCAUUAGAUGAGCUGCAUUUGUCCACUAAUGCUGCUAACUUAGAGAAAACAAUUAUGGAACCAAUUACUAAUUUUCCUUUGUCAAACUUCGAUAUUCCUGAUGUUCCUAGUGACAAAGAAGAGUUGUGCAAUAGUGCAUCACCUAGAUCCAUGCCACAACUAGUAUACAAAGAAAAGAAUUCUGAAUCAAUGAGUGUCGAAUUCAAGCAUGUUAUUAAUAUUGUAAAUGAAAAUGAAGAAGCUCAAUUGUUGUCAUCUUUACAUAUAAUGGGGUACAUUGAAUUCGAUGAUCUAUGUGAGCUUAGCUAUUUAGAGAAUAAUCAGUUUUCUAGAUUUGAAUUGUCAUGCUCUUCCAAUGUUAGUUUUCAUGCAAUUGGCAAAUAUAAUUAUGCAAAGGAGUAUAUGGUACACCGAAUUUACAUUUAUUCAAACAUAAAAUCUCCUUUUAUUGUGAAACAAUAUGACCAACUAGAAGUGUGCAAUAACCAUAACCAUGUCAUGGCGGGUUUGCCUAGUUUUCUUAUGAUGGAACAGGGCAAGUAUCAAGCAGGAGAGCAAGGUUCAUCAAUUCUGACAACACAUGCUCCACCAAUGAUUAAACCGAGGACGGUUUGCUGUCAAGAAGGGGAGAAUGAUGAGGACAUCACCUGCUCCGUAAUACUUACAUGGAUCAGGAGAAUAUUUGAUUGCAUAAUGAAAGUAUGGAUGGUGAAUGAAGUUGAUUGGGGACCAUUAUGCCCUACUUGAGAGAAGAGGACAAUCUUGAGUCGAGGACGACUCAAAUGCAAGAAGGGGAGGAUGAUGAGGACAUGAGUACCAUCAAUAGAAGAGGACAAGCUUGAGUCGAGGACGACUCAAAUGCAAGAAGGGGAGGAUGAUGAGGACAUGAGCACCAUCAAUACAUCCACGCCUCAGAUUCAUAUGCAUGAUAACUCAACUAUCUAGUGAGUUCAUUCCUGAGUUAUUUGUUGUAUUAUUUAGACCGUGGAAACCCGUGCACCUUUGUUUUGGCUAGGAAUAAUGAGGAGGAACCGCAAGGAAGCAUAUUCGCGAUGGGCUAAAUUUGGACUGCAGAAGGGUUGGUGGCCACCAAGACUACAUACGGUGACUGAUUUUGUUGUUCAAAUACACGGUGGAAAGCUUAUGAAGUCUAUUUGCACAUGGAUCCAGUCCCAUGUCCAUAUCUAUAAUGAGGCGGCCGUAAUCGUCGAGUUACUCCAGAGACCUUUCUGUGGACAGCUUCAUUCAAUAAGAAACUCCAUGCAUGCAUGAUAUGGAUAUUAUUGUUUUCUUUUGUUUUUAGUGAGUCGAGGGAUUAGCAGCGCACACUCUGGUUGCUCUCUCUUGUACAUAAAGGCUUCUACAGCCAGAGACACAAGGGCGGGUUUUGUUUUGUUGUAAGUUUAGCCAUUGCUACUUCCUUGUAGACGCAUGUGUCGACUAGACCAUCCGUUCUAUUUGAUUCAAAACCCCAUAUUGUUAUCGUGAUUCAUAUCAGAUCCUUCUUGUAUUAUUUGGCAAUUGAGUGCCUGUUCAAUCUGUUCUUGCAUGUUCUUCGAUUGCGUGCAGGAAUUACCCUAGUGGUUUGGUUGGUUGUGAUCAACAAGAUCGUGAUCAACCACUGGAAUUGGUGUAUCGAUCGCUAAGGCGCAGCGUCCUUGGACGGUUGUAGUCGGAUCGUGAAUGUCGCUCUAGAGAGAUCGAAGUUAUCCAUCUCCACCAAAAGAUCGGGACACCCUCGUUCUUAUUAGAAACCAUUUUGGACGCACUUGUUGGUACUCCUAGGUGAAGGGGCUCAAGUGGAUGCUCGGUUCGGUCUGUUUGGAGAUAGUGCUAAUCUUGAUGCAAGAUAGGUGCACGGUUUGCAUGGAACAUACCAAAUACUUGAAAAUCAAUCUGGACGCACAUGAUGGAACUCCUAGAUGACGUGUGUCAUACGAAAUCUUGCUUCGGUCUGUUUGGAGACAGUGUUGUUUCGGUGCAAGAUAGGUGCUAGGUUUGUACAUAAUGCAGCAUAGGCUAAGAAACCAUUUUGGACGCACCCGAUGGUACUCCUAGGUAGAAGGCUCAAGUGAAAGCUCAGUUUGGUCUAUUUGGAGAGAGUGCUAAUCUGGAUGCAAGAUAGACGCACGGUCUGCAUGGAACGUACCAUAUGCUUAAAAAUUAAUUGGACACACCCGAUAGAACUCCUUGAUGACGUGUGUCAUAUGGAAUCUCGCUUUGGCGUGCUUAGAGACAGUAUUAGUUUUGGUGCAAGAUAUGUGCACGGUUUGCGCCUAAUGCACCAAAGUCUAAGAAACCAUUUUAGAAGCACCUGUUGGUACUCCUAGGUGAUGAGGCUCAAGUGGAGGCUCGGUUUGGUCUGUUUAGAGAUAGUCCUAAUCUUGAUGCAAGAUAGGUGCACGAUUUGCAUGGAACAUACCAUAUGUUCAGAAAUCAAUUUGGACACACCAGAUGGAACUCCUAGAUGACAUGUGUCAUAUGGAAUCUCACUUCAGUCCGUUUAGAGACAACGUUAGUUUCGGUGCAAGACAGGUGCACGGUUUACACCUAAUUCACCAUAGGAUAAGAAACCAUUUUGGACGCACCCGAUGGUACUCCUAGGUCAAGGGGCUCAAGUGAAAGCUCCGUUUCGUCUGUUUGGAGAUAGUGCUAAUCUUGAUGCAAGAAAGAUGCACGGUUUACAUGGAACAUAUGAUAUGCUCAGAAAUCAAUUAGGACGCACCUGAUAUAACUCCUUGAUGAUGUGUGUCAUAUGAAAUCUUGCUUCGGUUUGUUUAGAGACUGUGUUAGUUUUGGUAGAAGAUAUGUGCACAGUUUACGCCUAAUGCACCAUAGGCUAAGAAACCAUUUUAGACGCACCCGAUGGUACUCGUAGUUGAAGAGGCUCAAGUGGAGGCUCGUUUUGGUCUGUUUGGAUAUAGUGCUAAUCUUGAUGCAAGAUAGUUACACAGUUUGGGUACAACGUACCAUAUGUUAAGAAAUCAAUUUGGACGCACCCAAUCGAACUCCUAGAUGACGUGUGUCAUAUGGAAUCUCGCUUCGGUCUAUUUGGUGACAAAGUUAGUUUCAGUGCAAGAUAGGUGCAUAGUUUGUGCCUAAUGCACCAUAGUCUAAGAAACCAUUUGUGAUGCACCUGUUUGUACUCCUAGAUGCAGAGCUCAAGUGGAAGCUCGGUUCGGUCUGUUUGGAGAUAGUGCUAAUCUUCAUGCAAGAUAGGUGCACAGUUUGCAUGGAACAUACCAUAUGCUUGGAAAUCAAUUUGGAUGCAUUCGAUGGAACUCCUUGAUGACGUGUGUCAUAUGGAAUCUCGCUUUGGUCUGUUUAGAAAUAGUGUUAGUUUUGGUGCAAGAUAUGUGCAUGGUUUGCACCUAAUGCACCAUAGUCUAAGAAACCAUUUUGGAAGCACCUGUUGGUACCUCGGUGAAGAGGCUCAAGUGGAAGCUCGGUUUGAUCUGUUUAGAGAUAGUGCUAAUCUUGGUGCAAGAUAGGUGCAUGAUUUGCAAGGAAUAUACCAUAUGCUUAGAAAUCAAUUUAGACGCACCCGAUGGAACUCCUAGAUGAUGUGUGUCAUAUGGAAUCUUGCUUCGGUCCGUUUGUAGACAUUGUAAGUUUUAGUGCAGGAUAGGUGCACAGUUUGCGCCUAAUGCACCAUAGUCUAAGAAUCCAUUUUAGACGCACUAUUUGGUACUCCUGGGUGAAGAGGCUCAAGUGGAAGCUUGGUUCGGUCAGUUUGGUGAUAGUGCUAAUCCAUAUGCAAGGUAGGUGCAUGGUUUGCAUGGAACAUACCAUAUGCUUGGAAAAUCAAUUUGGAUUCACCCGAUGGAACUCCUUAAUGACGUGUGUCAUAAGGAAUCUCGCUUCGGUCCAUUUGGAGACAUUGUUAGUUUCGGUGCAAGAUAGGUGCACAGUUUGCACCGAAUGCACCGUAGUCUAAGAAUCCAUUUUGGACGCACUUGUUAGUACUCCUAGGUGAAGGGGCUCAAGUGGAUGCUCGGUUCGGUCUGUUUGGAGAUAGUGCUAAUCUUGAUGCAAGAUAGGUGCACGGUUUGCAUGGAACAUACCAAAUACAUGGAAAUCAAUCUGGACGCACAUGAUGGAACUCCUAGAUGACAUGUGUCAUACGGAAUCUUGCUUCGGUCCGUUUGGAGACAGUAUUAGUUUCGGUGCAAGAUAGGUGCAAGGUUUGCAGAUAAUGCAGCAUAGACUAAGAAACCAUUUUGGACGCACCCGAUGGUACUCCUAGGUAAAAGGCUCAAGUGAAAGCUCAGUUCGGUCUGUUUAGAGAUAGUGCUAAUCCUUUUGCAAGAUAGGUGCACAAUUUUCAUGGAAUAUACCAUAUGCUUAGAAAUAAAUUUGGACACACCAGAUGGGACUCCUAGAUGGGUGUCAUGUGUAAUCUCACUUCCGUCCGUUUAGAGACAGUGUUAGUUUUGGUGAAAGAUAGGUGCACGGUUUGCACGUAAUGCACCAUAGGAUAAGAAACCAUUUUGGACGCACCCAAUGGUACUCCUAGGUCAAGGGGCUCAAGUGACAGCUCGGUUUGGUCUGUUUGGAGAUAGUGCUAAUCUUGAUGCAAGAUAGAUGCAUGGUUUUCACGGAACAUAUGAUAUGCUCAGAAAUCAAUUAGGACGCACCUGAUAUAACUCCUUGAUGAUGUGUGUCAUAUGGAAUCUUGCUUCGGUUCGUUUAGAGACUGUGUUAGUUUUGGUAGAAGAUAUGUGCACGGUUUACGCCUAAUGCACCAUAGGCUAAGAAACCAUUUUAGACGCACCCGAUGGUACUCGUAGUAGAAGAGGCUCAAGUGGAGGCUCGAUUUGGUCUGUUCGGAUAUAGUGCUAAUCUUGAUGCAAGAUAGUUGCACAGUUUGCAUGGAACGUACCAUACGUUAAGAAAUCAAUUUGAACGCACCCAAUGGAACUCCUAGAUGACGUGUGUCAUAUGGAAUCUCGCUUUGGUCCAUUUGGAGACAAUGUUAGUUUCGGUACAAGAUAGGUGCAUAGUUUGUGCCUAAUGCACCAUAGUCUAAGAAACCAUUUUUGAUGCACCUGUUUGUACUUCUCGAUGAAGAGGCUCAAGUGGAAGCUCGGUUCGGUCUGUUUGGAGAUAGUGCUAAUCUUGAUGCAAGAUAGGUGCACGGUUUGCAUGGAACAUACCAUUUGCAUGGAAAUCAAUUUGGAUGCACCCGGUGGAAUUCCUUGAUUACGUGUGUCUUAUGGAAUCUCGCUUUGGUCUGUUUAGAAAUAGUGUUAGUUUCAGUGCAAGAUAUGAGCAAGGUUUGCGCCUAAUGCACCAUAGUCUAAGAAACCAUUUUGGAAGCACCUGUUGGUACUUCGGUGAAGAGGCUCAAGUGGAAGCUCGAUUUGAUCUGUUUGGAGAUAGUGCUAAUCUUGAUGCAAGAAAGGUGCAUGAUUUGCAUGGAACAUACCAUAUGUUUAGAAAUCAAUUUGGACGCACCCAAUAGAACUCCUAGAUGACGUGUGUCAUAUGGAAUCUUGGUUCGGUCCAUUUGUAGACAUUGUAAGUUUUAGUGCAAGAUAGGUGCACAGUUUACGCCUAAUGCACCGUAGUCUAAGAAACCAUUGUGGACGCACUAUUUGGUACUCCUUUGUGAAGGGGCUCAAGUGGAAGCUUGGUUCGGUCAGUUCGGAGAUAGUGCUAAUCCUUAUGCAAGGUAGGUGCAUGGUUUGCAUGGAACAUACCAUAUGCUUGGAAAUCAAUUUGGAUGCACCCGAUGGAACUCCUUGAUGACGUGUGUCAUAUGGAAUCUCGCUUCGGUCCGUUUGGAGACAUUGUUAGUUUCGGUGCAAGAUAGGUGCACAGUUUGCACCUAAUGCACCAUAGUCUAAGAAACGGAUGAGGACAUGAGUACCAUCAAUAGAAGAGGACAAGCUUGAGUCGAGGACAACUCAAAUGCAAGAAGGGGAGGAUGAUGAGGACAUGAGCACCAUCAAUACAUCCACGCCUCAGAUUCAUAUGCAUGAUAACUCAACUAUCUAGUGAGUUCAUUCCUGAGUUAUUUGUUGUAUUAUUUAGACCGUGGAAACCCGUGCACCUUUGUUUUGGCCAGGAAUAAUGAGGAGGAACCGCAAGGAAGCAUAUUCGCGAUGGGCUAAAUUUGGACUGCAGAAGGGUCUCAACUUGUGGUGGCCACCAAGACUACAUACAGUGACCGAUUUUGAUGUUCAAAUACACGGUGGAAAGCUUAUGAAGUCUAUUUUCACAUGGAUCCAGUCCCAUGUCCAUAUCUAUAAUGAGGCGGCUGCAAUCGUCGAGUUAAUCCAGAGACCUUUCUGUGGACAGCUUCAUUCAAUAAGAAACUCCAUGCAUGCAUGAUAUGGAUAUUAUUGUUUUCUUUUGUUUUUAGUGAGUCGAGGGAUUAGCACCGCACACUCUGGUUGCUCUCUCUUGUACAUAAAGGCUUCUACAGCCAGGGACACAAGGGCGGGUUUUGUUUUGUUGUAAGUUUAGCCAUUGCUACUUCCUUGUAGACGCAUGUGUCGACUAGACCAUCCGUUCUACUUGAUUCAAAACCCCAUAUUGUUAUCGUGAUUCAUAUCAGAUCCUUCUUGUAUUAUUUGGCAAUUGAGUGCCUGUUCUAUCUGUUCUUGCAUGUUCUUCGAUUGCGUGCAGGAAUUACCCUAGUGGUUUGGUUGGUUGUGAUCAACAAGAUCGUGAUCAACCACUGGAAUUGGUGUAUCGAUCGCUAAGGCGCAGCGUCCUUGGACGGUUGUAGUCGGAUCGUGAACGUCGCUCUAGAGAGAUCGAAGUUAUCCAUCUCCACCGAAAGAUCGGGACACCCUCGUUCUUAUUAUGUGGUAAUCAGAGCAAGGUUUGAUUGGUGAGUGAUUUUAGUUUGCAUUUUUUUCCUAUAGUCCAGAAAAGCCAAAAAAAAAUUUUAGUUUCAUUCCCAACAUCCUAUAGACCCAUUGAGCCUUUUACUAGUACUACUUAGUUCAGGCAAGUUGUGUUUGAUUUACAUGGUCGAGUCGAAUUGCUGAUCUUGGGUUUAGACUUUUAGAGUUUCGAGUUCUUGUCACGUUUUAGUCACUGCCCAUCGUAUAAUCUCUGCUGCAAUCACUAUUACCAUAUACAUUUGGACUACACUAUAUAUAUCUGAACUACCAUCACCACCCUACUUGGGCACCGUGUAAACUCCAUCCACCACUCUCUUUUCACUCAUGCGCACCCUAUAUUUUUAGGCCAUUGCAUGCACGUUUUCACUUCCACCCGUGAACAACCUAUUCUUACUCACUGCCACCUGCAUGUUCCUUUCUUCCAUUCAUACAUCCUAUUGUAAGCGCUCUUGCACAUUCUAUAAUCAGCAUCCUAUUUUUAAUCAGCAUCCUAUUGCAACCACUAGAUUCAUUCCACUCUUGGGCAUCUAAUUUUAGAACAUUGCAUCCUUGUCCACUUCAUGCGCAUCCUUUUGCCUCUCCUCCACUCUUCUUUCACAUUCUAUUUUUCUCAUCCCCGUUGCAAUCAGUGUUACUGCAGCAUCAUAUCACCAUCAUAAUCUGCUAGUUGUAUUUUUGUUACACUAAAGACAUUGUGUGUUUUCUGAAAUCUAAUCCAUCAAGAUUCAGAUUUAUUUUAGUUGAGCAAAGUAGGAAAAAAAAGAAAGAAACAAAAAAAUAUCAAAAAAAAAGAAAAGAAAAAGGAAAGAAAAGAAAAAAAAGGAAAGAAAAUAAAGGAAGAGGAAAAGAAGGGAAGUUAUCUCUUGUUGUUCUUAUUAUUCUUGCGAUAUUGUGACUUCAUCUGUGCCUAGGUUCGCGUCUCUAGCACGGUCUAGCCUAGGACCAGCACAGUGCCACCGUUGAAUGAUUUCUCAACAUGCUUUUGUGACUAAUGUGGUGCUAGUACUUCCUUGUGCAAUAUAUAGAGCCAUCCUAUAACUCCACAUAUCAGACUACAACUUGACAAGUGUUGUUGCUGCAGCGUUGAUACACCAUUUUCUAGGUUUUCUGACUUGUUGGUUCCUGCCACCUCCUGUUUCGCUUGGUAAGAACUUGUGAGAACUUGUUUGCAUAGGGUGAGAGUGAAAUAAUUACAACAACCACAUCCUUGUAGUUGAUAGGAGCAUAAAGAUUAUUGCGUAUGUCUCUUGUUUUGUUCUAAUCAUGGCAGGAAUCCACGUAGAAACAAGCGAUAAUCAGAUUGCAUGUUCACAUCACUUUGCUAAAGGUGUGGCAAGUGAUAAGUAUGGUACGCAUGAGGUAUGUGAUGUUUUGCUAGAUGAAAUAAAAUCUGCAUUAC
rnacentral:lncRNA from 1 species